UUUCUUCUUGCUGUUGUUGAGUGCAGACAUGAUUCUCUGUACUGAUGUAAGAGGCAGAAAUAAAUGAUGUAAAUAGUUUUCUGUCUGCUUCUUCCCCUCCCUGGGGACACCAAAGGGGAGAGAGGAAGAACGGUGUGUUCCUCUCAUACAUCUGAGAAGAAUCGCUGGACCUCGCCUGCUUAUCAGCAGAGUGGAGACGCGGGGAGGUCGACAGGAAUAUCUGCCGGUGCCUACGCUGUGGCACAUUCCUCUGACCCAGGCAGAAUUCCAACAGUGGUAGCAGAGGAUGGUUGCGAUUCAUCGGACAUCUGCAUGAGAGGCUGGUGGAUUGUCCUCCUCUGCUCCAAGGAGGAAGAGAAAGCGUCUGAAAGAAGCCAGAGGCUCCACAGACAGCUGGUGGAAAGAAGAGGUGUUUUCCCAGAGCAACGGAGCUCAAGGUAUGCUGCAUUUCGGGCUAAAAGUGUGAACGCAGGAAGAUUAAUUCCUGGUUCACGGAGCUGCGUUUCAAAGAAAACAAGAGCUCCGGGAGAAGAGGCCUGCAGCUUGAAGGCUGAAGCCUGCAUUCCACAAAUUUUUGUGGUAGAUAAGAUGUCUUAUUGAAAUGCAUUGUUGCUAGGUAACGGUCCUGGAAAGUUACUGGCAAAGGGGCUGGACUCUGAGUGUAAGCCUGGGAAAGCGAAACAAAACCAGAGAAUGUUUUGGCUACAAGGUUUACGAGCUCUUGGAAGGGACUUUUCAAUAGCAGCCUGAGUUUAGCUGCCAGGUGCAAAGAGCGUAAACAAUUUGCAGUUUGCUGCGUGAGAAAGGAAAAAAAAACAACUGUUGGAUUUUACAGUUUGUUUGACAUUGUGAGCUGGAGGCUUGGCUUCAAGAUGGAUGCCAAGAAAGGAGCUUUGCCUUGCCCUCCUCCCUUAACCAAUGACAAUUAUUCAUCUUGGUCUGUAAAGAUGAAGGCCCUGCUGCAGAAUCAGAGGCUUUUUGAUGUAAUUGAAAACCCCAUCCCUGCAGCACCAACCAGAGGUUGGGAGUCACAGAAUGUAAGGGCCAGGACUGCUAUAAUUCUGUGUGUCUCAGAUGAUCAGUUGGUGCAUGUUCAGCAUUUAGAAAAUGCGAAAGAGGUAUGGGACACGCUGCGUACAACGCAUCAGAGAGAUGCUGGUUCUUCAGCGUUGCUGUAUUUUGAGAAAUUGACCAAUCUGAGACUUGCGCCUGAUGGAGAUGUUCAAGCGCACCUGACAGAAAUGAAGUUUCUGCGUCAACAGAUGGUGGAACGCAAUUUUCGUCUUCAGGAGGAAGUGUUUUGCUUCAUGAUGAUAAACAGCCUUAGCCGCACCUACAAGGUUGUUGCCAGUCAGCUUGGUUCCCUACCGGCCGCGCAGCUGACCGCGGAGAGAGUUUGUGCUGUGGUCCUGAAUGAACACGACAGACUUGCUGCACUGGAAGAAAAAGACAGGGGGAGGGAAGAACAGAGUUCUAAUUCCCCACUGCUGAUGCUACUGGAGAGCAUGGUGUAGCAUUGAGUGCUGUCCGAUGCUACAAUUGUGGACAGACUGGGCAUCUACAGCGAAACUGUAAGAAGCCGCGCCAGUCAAGAGGAGCAAAGAGCAGCUCUACGAAGCCUCAGGCGUCAGGCAAGCCGUUCCAAGUGCCAGGUGAAACCUGCAAAGGCUAUGAUGGCGAAAGGAACCACGCCAGAUGUUGGGAACUCGUUCAUAAUUGACACGGGCGCAACGGUUCAUAUGUGCCCGCACAGAGGACUGUUUUCGACGUUGAAGAAGCAAAGCUUCACUGUGAAACAGGCCAACGGUCAGGAGUUGGAAGCAACUGGAAUUGGGACUGUGUAUCUUGAGAGUCUGAACUUGACUAUAAGUGAUGUUUACCUGGUUCCAGAACUGAGAUUUAAUCUGCUGAGCGUGUCGCAGAUUGCAAAGAAAGGACUGAAACUGUCCUAUGAUGCUAAAAGCUGCAAGAUCUACAAAGAUGGAGAACUGUUUCUUACUGCCAAAGAGAAAGAUGGACUGUAUUUGUUGACUUUUGAUCAAAGUGAUUACAUGAAAUGUAAUUCUGCUGUUUCUAACGAAAUCUCUCUUGCAGGAGUGACCAGUGUGAGCACCAGGAAGGUGACUAAGACGAAGAAGGUCGACAGAGCAUUUCAGCGGGUGUAUGCUGAUGUGAUUGGUCCUCUAGAACCAUCUAGAGGCGGUGCACGAUAUUACCUUGUGUGUGUGGAUUGUUUCACUAAUUAUUCUUGGGUUUAUAUGAUGGAGAAACCGCAAGAAACUUUAGAAAAGUUUCAGGAGUUUUGUGACAAGGUUAAAAGUAUGCAUGAUGCUAACAUUGAUUGUCUUUUCACAGAUGAGAAGCAAAUUUUUCUGUUGCAGAAGUUUCAGAAGUUCCUGGAUGGAAAGGGAUAGACCACAAAGUGGCAGUUUCGCAAGAAGCGUGGAACAGGGGGGUCUGUGUAAGAGUGAACAAAGAAUUGCAAAAGGGGAUGAAUGCGCAAUUGCUGAGUUCACAUUUGCCACAUGAAUAUUGGGCUGAGUCGCUAGCGUCCUAUCUUCAUGUGUGGUUGAGAAAGGUCUCAACAGAGUUGGGAUGUUCUCCUUUUGAGAAGCUGUUCAAUAGAAAACCUUCUGUUGCCUAUUUUAAGGUUUUCGGGUCUCAUGUGAGAACAGAAGCUCCAGGUGGAGUAAAGAAUGCCAGAGGCAUUUUUGUGGGUUAUGAAAAAGGUCUCUACAGAGUAAUUUUGUCUGAAUCUGGUCAGGUGAUUCUCACAAAGUUCCUAGAGAGUGCUCCAAAGCAAGAGCGGAUAGUACAAACAUUUCCCACAGGAAACGAUUCUGAUGAUGAUGAUGAUGAGUUUGAUCUUAUUGAGUUCAGUAGUACUGAUGAUGACAGUGAGAGCUCAGAGAGUUCAGUUGUAACAGUCAUUGAGAGGAAAUCUCACACAAUGGAUAGACCUUCACAGGUGAAGGAAGAACCACUGAUUGCUACUGGUUCUCAACAGAGUCCAAAGGUUGAACCAGUGAGCACAGAGGAUCAGAACCUCAUACGUAGGUCUGAGAGAGCAACGAAGGGUGUACCACCCAAGAGGUAUUCAAAGGAGUUUGCUAACCUUGCAUAUGUUGCUAUUGUUAACAACCCAAGGACAGCUUGAAGCUGUGUCUGAGUCAGAGACAAAGGCACAACAGAGAGGUGUUAACCAAGGUAAUGCGAAGUCACACAACCAGAGAGGUACAUUGGUUAAACCAGUGGCGGGUAGUUCCAAGGGUGGAACUGAAACAACAGGGGAAUGUUAUAAAUAUAACAACUGUUUGUUUUCUUCUCUGGAUGACGCUUUGCUCGCAGCACACAUUGAUACUUUAGGGGGAGUAUGUUACCAUAAAGCACCAAUGCUGCAGCAAGCAAAGGCUCUAGCAGCUCAGCCAGCUGCUUGUGGCUGGAAAGCCAGGCAGGAUGUUUGUGACUGUUGCCAUGGGAACAAAGGGGCAGUCCAUUCUGUACUGAGCACCGGAUGUUAGCUCAGUGUGUGUGUGUCAUAUGACCCGUACUGGAUGUACUUGGGAGGAGUUUCUUCUUGCUGUUGUUGAGUGCAGACAUGAUUCUCUGUACUGAUGUAAGAGGCAGAAAUAAAUGAU
rnacentral:lncRNA from 1 species